rnacentral:tRNA from 1 species
GGAAAGGUGGCCGAGUGGCUGAAGGCAGCGGACUGCUAAUCCGCUGUAUGGGGAAACCUAUACCGAGGGUUCGAAUCCCUCCCUUUCCG